GGUUGCGAUCAUACCAGCACUAAUGCACCGGAUACCAUCAGAACUCCGCAGUUAAGCGUGCUUGGGGGAGAGUAGUACUAGGAUGGGUGACCCCCUGGGAAGUCCUCGUGUUGCAACUC
rnacentral:rRNA from 1 species